rnacentral:rRNA from 1 species
UACAGAGGGGGCAAGCGUUGUUCGGAAUUACUGGGCGUAAAGGGCGCGUAGGCGGCCUGCUAAGUCGAACGUGAAAUCCCUGGGCUCAACCCAGGAACUGCGUCCGAUACUGGUUGGCUUGAAUCCGGGAGAGGGACGUGGAAUUCCAGGUGUAGCGGUGAAAUGCGUAGAUAUCUGGAGGAACACCGGUGGCGAAGGCGACGUCCUGGAUCGGCAUUGACGCUGAGGCGCGAAAGCCAGGGGAGCAAACGGG